rnacentral:rRNA from 1 species
GAUGAACGCUGGCGGCGUGCCUAAUACAUGCAAGUCGAGCGAACAGAUAAGGAGCUUGCUCCUUUGACGUUAGCGGCGGACGGGUGAGUAACACGUGGGUAACCUACCUAUAAGACUGGAAUAACUCCGGGAAACCGGGGCUAAUGCCGGAUAACAUUUAGAACCGCAUGGUUCUAAAGUGAAAGAUGGUUUUGCUAUCACUUAUAGAUGGACCCGCGCCGUAUUAGCUAGUUGGUAAGGUAACGGCUUACCAAGGCAACGAUACGUAGCCGACCUGAGAGGGUGAUCGGCCACACUGGAACUGAGACACGGUCCAGACUCCUACGGGAGGCAGCAGUAGGGAAUCUUCCGCAAUGGGCGAAAGCCUGACGGAGCAACGCCGCGUGAGUGAUGAAGGUCUUCGGAUCGUAAAACUCUGUUAUUAGGGAAGAACAAAUGUGAAAGUAACUGUGCACGUCUUGACGGUACCUAAUCAGAAAGCCACGGCUAACUACGUG